AACGAACGCUGGCGGCAUGCCUAACACAUGCCAGUCGAACGAGACCUUCGGGUCUAGUGGCGCACGGGUGCGUAACGCGUGGGAACCUGCCCUUAGGUUCGGAAUAACUCAGAGAAAUUUGAGCUAAUACCGGAUAAUGUCUUCGGACCAAAGAUUUAUCGCCUUUGGAUGGGCCCGCGUAGGAUUAGCUUGUUGGUGGGGUAAUGGCCUACCAAGGCGACGAUCCUUAGCUGGUCUGAGAGGAUGAUCAGCCACACUGGGACUGAGACACGGCCCAGACUCCUACGGGAGGCAGCAGUGGGGAAUAUUGGACAAUGGGCGAAAGCCUGAUCCAGCAAUGCCGCGUGAGUGAUGAAGGCCUUAGGGUUGUAAAGCUCUUUUACCAGGGAUGAUAAUGACAGUACCUGGAGAAUAAGCGCCGGCUAACUCCGUG
rnacentral:rRNA from 1 species